GGGAUGUAACGCAGGGGUAGCGUGUUUGCUUUGCACGCAAAAAGUCGUGGGUUCGAAUCUU
rnacentral:tRNA from 2 species